GACGAACGCUGGCGGCGUGCUUAACACAUGCAAGUCGAACGGAAAGGCCCUGCUUUUGUGGGGUGCUCGAGUGGCGAACGGGUGAGUAACACGUGAGUAACCUUCCCUUUACUUUGGGAUAACUUCAGGAAACUGGGGCUAAUACCGGAUAGGAGCUCCUGCUGCAUGGUGGGGGUUGGAAAGUUUCGGCGGUUGGGGAUGGACUCGCGGCUUAUCAGCUUGUUGGUGGGGUAGUGGCUUACCAAGGCUUUGACGGGUAGCCGGCCUGAGAGGGUGACCGGCCACAGUGGGACUGAGAGACGGCCCAGACUCCUACGGGAGGCAGCAGUGGGGAAUAUUGCACAAUGGGCGGAAGCCUGAUGCAGCAACGCCGCGUGCGGGAUGAAGGCCUUCGGGUUGUAAACCGCUUUCGCCUGUGACGAAGCGUGAGUGACGGUAAUGGGUAAAGAAGCACCGGCUAACUACGUG
rnacentral:rRNA from 1 species